CACUUUCAACAACGGAUCUCUUGGCUCUCGCAUCGAUGAAGAACGCAGCGAAAUGCGAUAAGUAAUGUGAAUUGCAGAAUUCAGUGAAUCAUCGAAUCUUUGAACGCACCUUGCGCUCCUUGGUAUUCCGAGGAGCAUGCCUGUUUGAGUGUCA
rnacentral:rRNA from 1 species